rnacentral:lncRNA from 1 species
GACAAGUGACCAUUCCUAAAGAGUGGAAACCACUAAUAAACUUGUUUUGCUCAUGGCAGCAUCCUUGUAAGCUGUUUGAAGCAUGACAAUUGUUUUGGUUGCUGUUUUCCCCCAGUAGAAAACAGAAUUUUACAGAAGCACUGCAAAACGAAUGGAUAAUAGAGACGAGCAGAGUGGGGAGUAUAAGCAUAGGACAUGUACUUUUUCACAGAUAACAUAGAAAGGGAAUAGGAGCAAGACAUCCCAAAAGCAACAAGUGAGAUGGUAGAAGAGGCAAGAACAUGGAGAUAUAUAUCAUUACCAUCAUUGUAUUUCUAAUGUGCAAUUUUCAAUGUUUCCAUCUGUUAGAUGAAAUUCGAGGUUGAGUUUUCUAUAGCUAGAUGCCCUUCAUGCCACAAAUCCUCACUUGUUUCCACACAAGCUAAUAUUGCCCCAUGCUGUUUUGAACAAGAACAACACAAUAACUGAAUGUUUCCUUAUAUUAUGGUAUUGUUCAUUUACCACCAUUGUGAUAUCAGGGCAAGGGAUCACAAAGAAAUGUUCAAUGGGUUUCUUAGCCCAAGGUAUUGCACAUUGGGACUGAAUCUAAACCAUGUUGAGAAGUGCUAUUGUUAACCACAUACCUAUCAUCCAUGCCUGUGGUUUAAAUCCCAUUAUGCAACCUCUUUUAGUAAGUGUUUUCCACUGUAGCUUUGGACCAACCAAUGAUACUUUAGGGAAUUCAGUCGACAGAAACUGCAGGAAGCCCAUCAUAUAACACACGCGUCUCAGCAUGUGAAUAUCCAUCAAUGAUUGUAUUUUGCUCGUCACCACUUGUGUGAAGUAGUAUCUGAUGUUGAUAUUUGUUGACACACUGCUUAUUAGUGAAAAUUUUUUUUAAUACUACAGGUAGGGGAACCACCAGAAACUUUCUAAGAAAAGGGUGUUAAAAUAGUAAUUUACAAUUGGGAGAGUUUUAAGAGGAAGAGGAAAAAAAAGAAUAUUUUACUAUUUUGGAAUAA